AGUCUGACGGAUCAAGCCGCGUGCGGGAUAAGGCCCUUGGGUUGUAAACCGCAUGUCAGAAGGGGAUGAAAUCUCCGAGAGGUUAUCCUCCUGGAGUCGACAGAGCCUCAGAGGAAGCACCGGGCUAAGUAUGUGCCAGCAACCGCGGUAAUACAUACUGUGCGAACGUUAUUCGGAAUCACUGGGCUUAACGGGUGCGUAGGCGGUGGUUCAAGUCAGAUGUGAAAUGCCUGAGCUCAACUGAGGCAUUGAGUUUGAAACUGGAUCGCUUGAGUAUCCCAGGGGUGUGCGGAACUGCCAGUGGAGCGGUGAACUGUGUCGAUAUUGGCAGGAACAACGGAG
rnacentral:rRNA from 1 species